CCUACGGGGUGCUGCAGUGGGGAAUAUUGCACAAUGGGGGAAACCCUGAUGCAGCGACGCCGCGUGAAGGAAGAAGUAUUUCGGUAUGUAAACUUCUAUCAGCAGGGAAGAAAAUGACGGUACCUGACUAAGAAGCCCCGGCUAACUACGUGACAGCAGCCGCGGUAAUACGUAGGGGGCAAGCGUUAUCCGGAUUUACUGGGUUUAAAGGGAGCGUAGGCGGCGAUGCAAGUCAGAAGUGAACGCCCGGGGCUCAACUCCGGGACUGCUUUUGAAACUGUGUUGCUAGAUUGCAGGAGAGGUAAGUGGAAUUCCUAGUGUAGCGGUGAAAUGCGUAGAUAUUAGGAGGAACACCAGUGGCGAAGUCGGCUUACUGGACUGUAAAUGACGCUGAGGCUCGAAAGCGUGGGGAGCAAACAGGAUUAGAUACCCUAGUAGUC
rnacentral:rRNA from 1 species